UAUUUUUCAUUCGUCGUAGAGGCAUAUUGACUUAUGUCAAAUUGGGAUGAUAACUUAUCCUUAAUAAAGUUAUAAACUUAUUUAAGGUAGAUCAGGUCAUAAUCAUCAUAAACUAACAUCCCAAUAUCUCUAAUAUCUAUCCAUCACUCAUUCAUUCGAUUCUACAUAUCUUUAUCUAUCUACUUAUGCUCUGAUACCAUAUAAAUUAUCACGCCUCCGACCCAAGAUUGUAAGUCGAAGAUCAUGGCAACCGCCGCAUACUUAUAAGAAACACUUUCCAUAAGUAUGCAAGGCAUCUCAUGAUAUUAACAAAAAGCUAAAUAAAUUUUAAUUUUUAAUGAUCAAAUCUUAGUUCAAAUAACAAAUCAAAAUUCAAUGUCAAAAGAAAAGUAAAAGUCUGACAAAGUCAACAUUAAAAUAAAAUCUUGCAUCAAUUCUGAAGAAAUCCUAAAUCAAUUAAGGUAAGCUAACUUCGUCUCUAAUCACACUCCCGAUAGAAAUCCCGCAUCAUGCUAAUUUUUUGAAUCUGUAAAAGAAAAUAAAAAACUCAUCAUGAGCUAAAUAGCCCAGUAAGCAAUAUAUACCUUUAAGUGAAUAAAUCAGACAAUAAUAUUACACAUAUCAGUUUACUGAUAAUAACAUAAUAAAUAUAUGAGUUCAAGAAUUCAUAUCUUAAUUCAUUGCACUAUCAAAUAUCAUAUAUGAAUUUUUAUUUCAUCAUAAUUUUAAAUUAUGUUUGUCAUCUCAAAUUCAUCAAAUUUCUUAUAUUCUUCUUAUCAACCAUGAACUAUGACCAUAUUUUCUCUGUGACAGGAUCAUAAUACCGCGUAUCUUCUUGCGAUAAACUGCAAAUCAUUUGGCAGCAAAAUCCUUCGGAACUGCUGGUCUCGCUGACGACAUGUCGCUGGUCUCGCUGGUGAUAUAAAUCCUCAGGACAAAUCAAUUGCCAACAUAUUAACCUCCAUUAGCGGGAUCCUUUACAUAGUCAGGUUGUCAAAUCAUAUUAUCUUUCAAUUUCAUAUAUUAGUUAAAUAAUAAUAUAAAUAAAUGAUAUUCGAAUCAAUCAAUCGUAUCAUCCUUUAUGAUCAUACAUCAUCAUAAUUAAUUUCAACAAAUAUCUUCAAUCAUAAUUAAUUUCAACAAAUAUCUUCAAUCAUAAUUAAUUUCAACAAAUAUCUUCAAUUAUAAGCAUACCAUGAAUUAAUAUGAUUCAAAUUUAUAAUUUACCAGCUAAAUUCAGUAAAGGUAAAACACUACUUACCUCAAAAGCAAAUCCAAACUAUGGAUCCUAUAAAUCCUUCUCGAAACCUGGUAUGU
rnacentral:lncRNA from 1 species